AAGCCCGCCGUCCCCCAACUUCUCCAGGGCCCAAGGAGGGUUUCAAAGAGGGCCGGGGUGAGGAGGAGUCUGGCCUCGAGAGUCUCGGGAGACGCUCCCUGCCAGUGCCAAGCCUGCACAGUUUGGGAAAGGGGGGGGCGGAUCUUUGUUAGGAGCCUGUCUCUCAUCUUGGGGUCUCCCCUUGAUCAGCACCCCCUACCCCAUCCCGGAACAGCGGCGAUCCUGUGCUCCGCGGACAAUACCAACUCUAUUCCUUUCGGGCGUUUUUUCGGAAAUCAAGACACAGGGGAAGAGCCCGCACGUCGGGGCAGGAAACUCUUCGGACCGGGCAACUUCCCGUUCGGGGGCUCCCGUCUCCUCGCUCGGCCAGGCCCCCCCCCCCCGCCCCCCCCCCCCCCACACACACACACAGACCCAAGAACUGCGGAGUCCCUGGUCUGCCGAGAGCGGCGAGGUCGCCUCCAGGACGGCCUCGGCAAGCGCCCCCGCCCCGAGUCACCUCAGACCCGCUCGGGCACGAGCGGGAGCGGGAAGCAAACUCACCUGGCCGGAGCCGGGCGCGGGGGCGCGGGGGCGCCGCUGCCCUUCAGCGGAAGCCGACAAACUUUCGCAGGCGCCCAGCGGGCAUCGCUUGGUGGCCCGGCUAAGGACGCGCGGGCGCGGCGCGGCGAGCCCGGGGCGGCAGGCGGCGGGGGGCGGCCGCGGGCGCGGGCGGCAGGGGCGCGGGGGUCGCGGCGCGGCAUGGGACCUGCGGCGUCCGCCGGGCGCGCCGCGCGUCCUCCCGCCGGCCCCCCCCCCCCCCCCCCCCCCCCCCCCCCCCCCCCCCCCCCNGCGCGUCGGGCCGGGGCGCGCCGAGCGGCGAGAAAUUGUUUCCACUGCAAACAAAAAAAGGCGACACAUGACCAGAGCUCUCCAGAACCCCGCCGCCAACUCGCAGGGCCACCACUCCCAAGUCUUAGCGACACCUCCAAAGAUGGGCCACCCGCUGCUGCAGCCACACCAGGCAGCUGCUUUUGGAGAGGAUGAAAAGCGAGCCCAACAGGACACCCUGGUGGUGACACAAAUAAAAAUAUGAUUGCACACCAGCCCCAGCAAUGCAGCAAGAGAUGUAAGGAGCUAUCAUCAACCCGAAGAGGAAGUGGUGGACCAGCCCUGCCUGAUGUGGAGAACGGGGUACACGUGUCUGCCAGUCUGUCUGAAACGGGGGAUUCCAGACCUCAGCUGAAAGUUUAGAGUGGCCUUUUCACCCACGAGGGAACUCGAGGAAGCCUGGCACGGGUUGGCUGCUUCUGCUCACAUGUGACCACCCGUGGCUGCCAGCACCAAGUGCAAAGGACCUUCUGAUGGCCAGCACCCACCACCUUCAGACUGCCUAGCCUUCCACCACAGACUUCCGAUUCUCGGGGAAAUCAUCUGAUUGGCUCGGCCUGAUUCAGAAAAGAGACCCAGGACCACAGCUAGAAGACCUUCCAUCUCUCAGUGCGUUUCAAGGCUUGGUCCUGCAUCCUUUGGGCUUUCCAGAAAAUCUGUGCCCAGCUGAGGCACGCUGCCUGGCCAGAAUUACUUCUUCUCCUGUCCUGCCAGGGAUCCUCCUGUAGUUUAGAAGCUGGUCUAAAGGCAGCUACCCCUCGGAGCUCCUGGAUUCCCUUCGUCUGCAGUCAGUCCCCACUGUUCACCGUGGUUGUGUU
rnacentral:lncRNA from 1 species